rnacentral:tRNA from 1 species
UAAAACAUAGCUAAAUAGAUAGCGUUUCACUUACACUGAAAAGAAUUAUCGUGCAAAUCGAUUUGUUUUAA